GUGAAGGUCAAGCUGAGCUGGCGUCUCCCUGAUGCCACACUAUGUUUAAGAAGAGAGUUGAAUGCUAGAACUCAAGACAGACCAUGGUUCUCAUCUAGAUAGAUGGAACACAAGAUAGACGAAACACCUCUAAGAAGUGCAAGGGCAAAGAAGCAGAAAUGCACUGGUACUGGACUUGAGUUUGCCAAGGACUCAGAGUGCAGAACAUUGAGUACUUUUUAACUGAAGAAAUAAAUGAAAGAACAAAUUCUAAAAUACCACCAUGGAUUGGAAAUCUUAGAAUAUUUCAUUUUAUUUUAGACAUUCAACUAGUCAUUGUAACAGUGUCUCUAACGAGAACACAUUUAGCAUGUCCUAGGUAUUGCUUUCUUCCUUCAUCUGAAGCCACCAAAGUUCCUGACCAUCCAAGAACAUUUCGUUGAAAAGAAGCUUGCACUUAGGUGCAUCAAUGUAGCGUUGCCAGUUUUUUAAUAACAUGGAAAAUAUCGCAGUGAACCUCUCUGGGAUGGUGGAGGAUGGAAGUUUGCUGUGCUCCCAGAAGCACUGCUUCUGCACAGCCAGGUAGAAUUGAAGACAUAAGAACAAACUGAGAUUGGAUGCCUUAGUACCACCAAUGCAUUGCUGAGCGUGGUUAGCUUGUG